rnacentral:lncRNA from 1 species
CUCCUGCCUCAGCGUCUGCCUCAGCGUCUGCCUCAGCCUCCCGAGUAGCUGGGACUACAGGCAGCCGCCGCUACGCCCCGCUAAUUUUUUGUAAUUUUUAGUAGAGACGGGGUUUCACUGUGUUGGCCAGGAUGAUCUCAAUCUCCUGUGUCUUUAACUCUUCUUAAUUCCCCACUGAUGACGAAAAUGAUAGAAAGCAAUAAACCAGAUUUGAAAUUCAGAGUGAAACAUCUAAGAUCGUCUGCAGUGCAGUGGCACGCUCUCUGCAACCUCUGUCUCCCGGGUUCAAACCAUUCUCCUGCCUCAAUCUCCAGAGUGGCUGAUAUUACAGGAUUCCACCACCAAACCCAGGUUUAUAUGUGCAACUUGACAUUCCAAACAAAUACUUCAAGUCAAAAUAUUCCAAGCCGAAAUUCCUUCCAAACAUGCAUUUCAGCCUGGUUAUCUCUUGAUAGCUCUGCAGAAUCUCCAUGAAGUAUGCGGGACACAUAAGUGCUUUUUUUUUUUUUUCCCCUAAAGUAGAUGAACUAAAUUAAGUAGAGGAGGCAAGUUGGUAAUUUGGUUCAUUGCGUUUCACCACCAGCCAUUGUCCCUCUUUUGUGAUAAUCUGAUAUCUCUCAUUGCUGCUCUCAUGUUUGUAUUCUACUGUGAGUUUUGUGAUUAUCAUUUUAUUGCACUUUUUAAUGUUAUUUUUCUGUUAUAUUGCAACAAUAAGAAAAUAAAGGGUAUAUCACAAGUCAUGAUCAACUGCAAGUACAUAACCAUAGGAUCACCACGGACUGGUGAAUUUCCCUUGCUAGUGAUGUUGGAACUGUUGACAGCAAUCAUAGGUAGGUUAGCUCAACAUAUGCUUUACCAGGUCCCCAGAGAUCCUGAAUCAAUGCCACCUAAUUAUCAGCUAGAAGUAGAAGUCACUGUUGCUUUUAGGAAUUUGUAGCACGAGUUUACCAUGAAAGGUCUUAAGGAAAUCACUGCUUGUCUCAGAGCUGAGGGUAUUUAUUCUUUCUUUACUUGGUGAUUGACACAACAUUGAGGAAGCUUAGUGGCUUGACUGCUCUUCAUUAUGACCAAAUUCUGCAACAUGGACCAUGUCUUUCCACCUUUCUGCUUGUUCCCAUGUAAUUCUGAACUAAAUUAGAUUGCCCCAAGCAUGGUUCCACUGCUUAAUUUUUAAAUUCUCAUCCUCAUUAUAUUUCCCAACAUCAUUCUGUCAAAAGUCUCUUUCCUUUAAAACCGUUACUCAUAGAAAGUUUUGGAACACAAAAAACCCCACAAAACAAACAGAAGAACAACAACAAAACACGUUUUCUUCUUAGACUAAUUAUUUCUAAGCACAUAAUUGAAAUAGGAUACAUGCAAUUAUAAUUUUUUAUAAUAAGCUUUAGCCAUAGAUAUUGAUUCCUUCUGUCUUUAAAAUUGGUUAUAUUAAUAGUUGUGCAUAUUAUCUCUUCAUUAUUGAGUUCUACCACAUUUCAAUAUUGUGCAUACUCUACAGUAAAAAUUCUUAUGCAAU